rnacentral:rRNA from 1 species
UACAGAGGGUGCGAGCGUUGUUCGGAAUUAUUGGGCGUAAAGGGCGCGUAGGCGGUGCGGUAAGUCACCUGUGAAAUCUCCUGGCUCAACUGGGAGCUUGCAGGCGAAACUGCCGUGCUGGAGUGUGGGAGAGGUGAGUGGAAUUCCCGGUGUAGCGGUGAAAUGCGCAGAUAUCAGGAGGAACACCGGUGGCGAAGGCGGGUCUCUGGGCCGAUAUCGACGCUGAGGAGCGAAAGCGUGGGGAGCAAACAGG